rnacentral:rRNA from 1 species
UACGUAGGGGGCUAGCGUUGUCCGGAUUUAUUGGGCGUAAAGAGCUCGUAGGCGGUUUCGUAAGUCGGGUGUGAAAACUUCAGGCUCAACCUGGAGACGCCACCCGAAACUGCGAUGACUAGAGUCCGGUAGGGGAGUGUGGAAUUCCUGGUGUAGCGGUGAAAUGCGCAGAUAUCAGGAGGAACACCAACGGCGAAGGCAGCACUCUGGGCCGGAACUGACGCUGAGGAGCGAAAGCGUGGGUAGCGAACAGGA